UGGGGAAUAUUGGACAAUGGGCGAAAGCCUGAUCCAGCCAUGCCGCGUGAGUGAAGAAGGCCUUAGGGUUGUAAAGCUCUUUCAGCGGGGACGAUAAUGACGGUACCCGCAGAAGAAGCCCCGGCUAACUUCGUGCCAGCAGCCGCGGUAAUACGAAGGGGGCUAGCGUUGUUCGGAUUUACUGGGCGUAAAGCGCGCGUAGGCGGACAUUUAAGUCAGGGGUGAAAUCCCAGGGCUCAACCCUGGAACUGCCUUUGAUACUGACUGUCUGGAGUUCGGGAGAGGUGAGUGGAAUUCCGAGUGUAGAGGUGAAAUUCGUAGAUAUUCGGAGGAACACCAGAAGCGAAGGCGGCUCACUGGCCCGAUACUGACGCUGAGGCGCGAAAGCGUGGGGAGCAAACAGG
rnacentral:rRNA from 1 species